AAAAAGAAAAAGAAAAUGUGGUAUAUAUACACCAUGGAAUAUUACUCAGCCAUAAAAAAGAAUGAAAUGAUAUCUUUUCCAACGACUUGGAUGGAGCUGAAGGCCAUUAUUCUAAGUGAAGUAACUCAAGAAUGGAAAGUCAAAUACCAUCUGUUCUCACUUAGAAGUGGGAGCUAAGCUAUGGGUAUGCAAAGACAUGCCGAGCGAUAUAAUGGGCUAUGGAGACUCAGAAGUGGGAGGGUGGAAGGAGGGGCAAGGGAUUUAAAAAAACUGCAUAUUGGGUACAAUGUAUACUACUCAGGUGAUGGGUGCACUAAAAUCUCAGACUUCACCACUAUACAAUUCAUCCAUGUAACCAAAAAUCACUUGUACCCCUGAAAAUUUAAAAUUUUUUUUUAAAAGAACCAAACUUUCCAACACUUAUUCUGUCUUUCUUAUAAACUUAGUACUGUUUUCACAGCUUCACUAACUUCUAAAAAUUUUCUUCCUGGCAAGUCUUUACUUAUCCUCUUCUACCUGUCCCCACCUCCUGUUUUUCUGAUUUUACUUCCUUAUGCCAAACAGAAUUUUGAUAUAGGUAAUUUGUUAUAAAUUUAAUUAGAUGUUCAC
rnacentral:lncRNA from 1 species